GGUUUGUGGCUCAGUGAUAGAGCUCUUGCCUAGCAUGCGUGAGGCAUUGGGUUCAAUUCUCAGCACUG
rnacentral:tRNA from 1 species